UGCGCAGGCGGAUUAAUAAGUCGGGGGUUAGAUCCAUGUGCUUAACACAUGCACGGCUUCCGAUACUGUUGAUCUAGAGUCUCGAAGAGGAAGGUGGAAUUUCCGGUGUAACGGUGGAAUGUGUAGAUAUCGGAAAGAACACCAGUGGCGAAGGCAGCCUUCUGGUCGAGUACUGACGCUCAUGCACGAAAGCGUGGGGAGCAAACA
rnacentral:rRNA from 1 species